rnacentral:tRNA from 1 species
GCUUUAAUAGUUUAAUUAUAAAAUUUUAAUUUGUGGUGUUAAAGAUAUGAUAGAUUCAUUUAUAGCA